CCAUCCAGGACCCUACAGGUGGGAGAGGAACGCCAGCCCCGGAGUCCCAGUGUUCCCAUUCUGUGAUAAGGACAGAACACAGACCUCUCACUAUGGAAUUUCUGCUUGGCUGGGUUUUCCUUGUUGCUGUUUUAAAAGGUGUCCAGUGUGAGGUGCAGCUGGUGGAGUCUGGGGGAGGCCUGGCGAAGCCUGGGGGCUCCCUGAGACUCACCUGUGCAGCCUCAGGAUUCAACUUUGGAAGCUACUACAUGCACUGGGUCCGCCAGGCUCCCGAGAAGGGGCUGGAGUGGGUCUCAUAUAUUAGUACUGAUGGAAGUAGCACAGGCUAUGUGGACUCCGUGAAGGGCCGAUUCACCAUCUCCAGAGACAACGCCAAGAACACGCUCUAUCUGCAGAUGAACAACCUGAGAGUCGAGGACACGGCCAUGUAUUUCUGUGCGAGAGACACAGUGAGGGGACUUCAGUGGACUGGAGAGUGGGCUGAUGCCAAUAUUUCCUCCCAACAAUCAGCAGGGAUAGACUGCAGCCAGCAGCACAUCGCCCACCAGUAG